rnacentral:rRNA from 1 species
UACGUAGGGUGCGAGCGUUGUCCGGAAUUACUGGGCGUAAAGAGCUCGUAGGUGGUUUGUCGCGUUGUUCGUGAAAACUCACAGCUUAACUGUGGGCGUGCGGGCGAUACGGGCAGACUAGAGUACUGCAGGGGAGACUGGAAUUCCUGGUGUAGCGGUGGAAUGCGCAGAUAUCAGGAGGAACACCGGUGGCGAAGGCGGGUCUCUGGGCAGUAACUGACGCUGAGGAGCGAAAGCGUGGGGAGCAAACAGG